GUCCACGCCCUAACGAUGUCGACUGGUUGUUGGGUUUGACACUCUCAGUAACGAAGCUAACGCGUGAAGUCGACCGCCUGGGAGUACGGCCGCAAGGUUAAACUCAAAGGAAUUGACGGGACCCGCACAAGCGGUGGAUUAUGUGGAUUAAUUCGAUGCAACGCGAAAACCUUACCUACCCUUGACAUGUCCUGGAGGCUCCAGAGAUGGGGCUGUGCCCCGAAAGGGAACGGGAACACAGGUGCUGCAUGGCUGUCGU
rnacentral:rRNA from 1 species